rnacentral:lncRNA from 1 species
ACAUUCCUUUCAUUUAUAGGUUUCAUUUCAAAUUUAAUGUGCGCAUUUCAUGUUCAAAUCUAUAUCAUAUAAAGAUUUUUGAAAAAGAAUAUUAUAUGAGUUACAUGGCAGAGUUCAACCUCUAAGAAAAUUUCAGCAUAAAUUACCCUGAAAAAAUAUUUACAAAAUCUUUCAAUAGAAAUAUGAGAACUUUAACAUAUAUAAAGCAAUCAUGGAGUAUAUAUAAGAGCAAUAUAGCAAAGUGCACUAAUUGCUAUAAGAUUGCUUACACAGAUUGGUAACUUAUUGUGAAUAUAGGAUACAAUAAUAUUAUUGCCAAAGGAUCAGAGGGCUGCCCUUCUAAGUUAAGAUCUUGACCUAAUUUGUAGGUCUAACAUGUAGCACCAUUUUGCCUUUUAUUUUUCUUCUUAAUUAGCUUCCAUUUUUGAUGCAAGUGCUGUGGAUGUUGAGAUCUGAACUUGAGAUUCAUUUUGAGAUAUGUGGCUGAAAGAAAUAAAUUAAAGGUUAAUUGAUGCAUAUAUAAAUGCAACACUUUGGUGAUGAGAGCAAAAAGAUGAGAAUAAUAGUGGUGCUCAAGUGAGGGAAACAUGUUAGUUUUUUGUAGUGGCUUUUGUAGGUGAAAAAGAAAGUGGAGGAAAGGAUCUUCUCAGCAUAUACCUUG